UCCAAACAGAUACACAGCACAGACCACGGCGGAGAAACUGUUUUGUAAAGGGGCUACAGCUUUUAAUCAAAGUCUGCCAUCAUGAUGCACCCUUUAAUCAUCGGCAUCAUGACCGUAAACACCUCACUGACCGUGGUGUACUGGAGCUUCCUGCUUGGUGAUGCCUACUUCAAAUGGCUGAUGGAGCCAGAGGACAAACCAAAGAAGGAGGUGACACCAGCCUGAGGGCAACAACGUGAACUGACUAUAUGAAUUUUCAUUAUUUUUGUUAUGUUUUUUUCUAGUCUAAUAGAGCAGCUUGGCUUGUAGUGUUUUUAGUGGAGUCUGUCCUUUCUGUUCCACCUGGAGAAAACCUGGAAACCUCAUUUGGAAAAUCCUGUACCAACAGGAUCUUGCAAGAGGACACAGGAGUCAUCAUUACAGAGCGAUCUGUAUGCAGCACACGCCAGUUUGGACGCCCUUUUACUCACAAGCCUAAAGAAGAAACCUGGCAAUCCGUUUCAAGCUUUGAUUACAAGACUGGAUCCUUGGCCCCAAAUCAAUGGAGGAUGAUUCAGAUGAAGACAGAGCAGAGACAGCAGAAGAGUGGAGACUGAGUGUUUCCAGUUUGCUGAUGGAGACAGAUAGGCUGGAGAUGGAGAUGGAGAAAGAUCAGCAGCUCCCUGGUCUUCAUUGGGGAGACGCCUCCCACUCUUUGUUUGCGUCUCCUCCACUGAGAAACACCAUCUCUCCAGCUCUCUCUGAAGAAAACAGUACAUCAUCUCAGAGCGUGACCUGCGCCUGCCCUUUGACCACUUAUGUAACGUCCCUUUGAGUUUGAAGCUGUUUUUGUCAUAAAUCUCUGUUGUUGUUGAUGUAGUCAUGCAUAACUAAUGCCUUUAUGAUCAACACUUACUGUAUUACAGUUUGCAUUUGUUCUAUUGAAAAUAUACACAAUGGGUCUAUAUUGUCAAUCAUUCAAAUUGAGUUGCAGUAAUUGUUACAAAUGUCUAAGGGCCUCAUUUAUGCAGCAUUUUUAGGAGUUCUGACUUUAAUCCUGUCCAUGAAGUCAAACACAGAGAGUGAAUACUAUACCACUGUAAAAAAAAAAAAAAAAAAAAAAAAGGUCAUGCUGUAAAUAUAUGUAUGUUCGGUUUUAAACUUAGAGUUGUUGAUUUAAUCUACAAAAAAACUAAUCAGUUUGGAUAAUUGACUACUUACUGAAUCUAAUAGGAUAAAUGUGUAACUUAAAAAUGAAUGAAAAGGUCAAAUCCCACAUGUUGAAGAAGAAAGGAUUUAAACCAGUUUCCUUUGUGUUGGACUGAGCUGAUUUCCAAUAAACAAUGGACUGAG